CGUGAGGAACCUACCUUCAAGUGGGGAAUAACUGCCAGAAAUGGCAGCUAAUACCGCAUGUGGUUGUCUGUUGGCAUCUUCGGACAACUAAAGAUUUAUCGCUUGGAGACGGCCUCGCGGCCUAUUAGCUAGUUGGUGGGGUAAUGGCCUACCAAGGCGAUGAUGGGUAGCUGGUCUGAGAAGACGAUCAGCCACACUGGGACUGAGACACGGCCCAG
rnacentral:rRNA from 1 species